rnacentral:rRNA from 1 species
GACAGAGGGUGCAAACGUUGUUCGGAAUUACUGGGCGUAAAGCGUGUGUAGGCGGCCACGUAAGUCGGAUGUGAAAGCCCCGGGCUCAACCCGGGAAGUGCACUCGAUACUGCGUGGCUUGAGUACUGGAGAGGUUGGUGGAAUUCUCGGUGUAGAGGUGAAAUUCGUAGACAUCGAGAGGAACACCGGUGGCGAAGGCGGCCAACUGGACAGAUACUGACGCUGAGACACGAAAGCGUGGGGAGCAAACAGG